rnacentral:rRNA from 1 species
GGAGGAAAGCAGGGGAUCGCAAGACCUUGCGCUUUUGGAGCGGCCGGUGUCUGAUUAGCUGGUUGGUGAGGUAAAUGCUUACCAAGGCGACGAUCAGUAGUUGGUCUGAGAGGACGACCAGCCACACUGGGACUGAGACACGGCCCAGACUCCCACGGGAGGCAGCAGUGGGGAAUUUUGGACAAUGGGCGCAAGCCUGAUCCAGCAAUGCCGUGUGAGGGAAGAAGGCCUUCGGGUUGUAAAGCUCUUUCAGUCGAGAAGAAAAGGUUGUGAUUAAUACUCACAAUCCAUGACGGUAUCGACAGAAGAAGCACCGGCUAACUACGUGCCAGCAGCCGCGGUAAUACGUAGGGUGCAAGCGUUAAUCGGAAUUACUGGGCGUAAAGCGUGCGCAGGCGGUCUUGUAGGUCAGAUGUGAAAUCCCCGGGCUUAACCUGGGAAUUGCGUUUGAAACUACAAAGCUAGA